rnacentral:rRNA from 1 species
UGCAAGUCGAACGGUAAGGCGAGGAACUCUUCGGAGUUUCUCGCACACGAGUGGCGCACGGGUGAGUAACGCGUGGGUAAUCUGCCCUCAGGUUUGGGACAACUCCGGGAAACUGGAGCUAAUACCAAAUAAGACCACGAGGUCCCCGGACCUUGCGGAAAAAGGUGGCCUCUUCUUGAAAGCUAUCGCCUGUUGAUGAGCCCGCGUCCCAUUAGCUUGUUGGUGAGGUAAAGGCUCACCAAGGCAUCGAUGGGUAGCUGGUCUGAGAGGAUGAUCAGCCACACUGGAACUGAGACACGGUCCAGACUCCUACGGGAGGCAGCAGUCGGGAAUCUUGCACAAUGGGCGAAAGCCUGAUGCAGCAACGCCGCGUGAGGGAUGAAGGCCCUCGGGUCGUAAACCUCUGUCGGAAGGGAAGAAAGUAUUCCGGGCCAAUACCCCGGAGUAUCGACGGUACCUUCAAAGGAAGCGCCGGCUAACUCCGUGCCAGCAGCCGCGGUAAUACGGAGGGCGCGAGCGUUAUUCGGAAUCAUUGGGCGUAAAGCGCGUGUAGGCGGCUGGGCAAGUCGGAUGUGAAAAGCCCGGGGCUCAACCCCGGAAUUGCAUUCGAAACUG